ACAGCCUGUAGUCACAGAAUGUUCUGGGCUCACCCUCUUCUCUGGCCUGGGGAAGUGAGGCUCAGCGUAGAGGCUGUACCCACAGGCACAUGACGGUCUGCACCCAGGCCAGGGCUCAGUGAGGAGCCGGAGUGUCCCGGCCUGCCUGGACUCCAGCCGGGACCUCCCACAUGAGGCUCAUUCAUCUAUGCCCAGGAUUCUCAAAGAACCCCGGCCCCAGCCUGCUCUCUGUCAUGUGCUGAGCCCCAAGCUUACCCAUGCCUCCUGCCGUGGGGACCAGAGAAUGAGAAGACCACCAGGGAGACCCGCCCUGGAGACCAUGGUGUGCUGCUGACUCACGAGAAUGACAUCACCAAGUGUGCCCUCUGUCCUGUCACUUGGAGCUCCUGGAAGCACAGAAUGUCCCUCAGCCUGGACACUGCCCCUGGCCUGGGGAGGUAGAUGCUCCCCACCUCCCCUCCUGCCCUAGUGCAGAGGAAAGAAGAUCAAAUCUGGAGUCAGCAGACAUAGGAGUCUAAUCCCUGGUUCUGAUAUAUCUAGGCAGUCAUUGCCUUAGCCACACUCAGCCUUAAUCUCCUGAUCUGCAAAAUGGGGAGAACCACACUAACUUUGCAGUUUGCGGUGAGAGUCAAGGAAACCCACGUGAGAAGUGUCUGGCACUGUGCCUCGCAUGUAGGCUUGAGCUGAGCUCCAGGGAGUGAGAGAAAGGGGACCUAACAGACUUGUGGGAGACGAGCGUGAAGACAAAGCAAUGACCCCAGAUAGGCCAGUCGCAAAUGCCAGGAAAGAUCCACGGACCCUGGAGUUUCACCUGGACCUUGAGAAACAGAAUUUGAAUAUUGUGGAGAUUAACAAAACAAAACACCACAGGAGCAAAGGUCCUGAGUGAAGCUGGCCCUUUGGGGCUGGUGUAUCUGGUCAGCUGGUAGGCAUGGAGGGCCCACCCCACGGGGAGAAGCCAGGCAGAGAAAGAAGGCUGGAGGCGGCCGGAAAAGACGGAAAAGACACAGGUGUCAGGCGACGUUUGAAUUGAUUUUCAGCACUAGGGAGCCAUCUCUGAUCAGGGAGUGGAGUGAGCAGAAAUGCCUUCUGGAGGAGGCCUUGAAACCACCUUUGCAAAAAUGGUAUCAGUGAGAAAAUUAUGACAGUGAAAGAGAUCUCAGCUAACCUACCCCCAAUCUUUCCUUUCCCUUCCUUAUUCCUGGGUAUUGGGCCGAGCUAACUUUGAAGACAUUUAGGCUGUAGUUUAAAUGGUAACAGGCCUUGUCCCAAAACGCAGCUGCUUUUGUAAAGCUAAUGAGAGGCCAUCAGGCCUGGGGGAGUAGAGGGCCCUGACUCCUGCUAAGGCGCAGACAUAAAAGACUGUCAGCCACGAUGCCAGAGGUCAGAAGACAGGCAACUUCCCUAAUUACUCCUGCAAAUAAUGCCAAUGUUGUGAACCUAAGGUCGGCCUUCCGAGAUACCUUUUCAGGCCUUUUGCAUGUCUGACACCCAUGGCUCCACCUGGACCCGCCAACCUUGCCCCUGUGGCCCCACCCAGAAGUGACUCAGCACCCAGGAGGACAGCUUCGACCCCCUAAGAUUUCAUCUCUGCCAACAGCAAGCACCUGUUACCUGGCCACCCCCAACUCUUCCCCCAAACUGCCUUUGAAAAACCCCUAACCUACAAGCUUUGAAGAUAAUUUCAGUACUAACUCUGUCUCCCACAUGGCACGGCGGGCCUUGGGUCUGUUCAAUUCUUUCUUUACUGCAAUUCCACGACCUUUCUUCAUGCAGUGGGCAGGAAGAACUCCUCCAGUGAUUACAGCCUGGGGUGCAGGGUCUGGAUGGACGGAGCAGCACCUGGAGAGGGCCGUUAACCCUCUGUUGUCCAUGUGUGGCUAGGCGAGGGCUGCAGCCAGACCCAUGGCCUUAUCUGCCUGCAGGGCCCGCCUGAGCCCUCAGUGACAGACACAGGUUUCUAAGCCAACCCAGAGGGGAUGCAGAGCCCUCCCUUUGGAGAGUUGAGAUCCUGCUGAACCUAGGAAAGUACUGAAACACCAGCAGAGAGCUCACAGAGCAGCCAUGGCCAGGGCUCAGGCACUGCCUGCGGCCCACCCUGGAGCUCCCACGCCCACCUGUCUCAUCUUUCCAGAACUGGCCCAUCUCUGCAGAGUUGGCAGCAGGUCCUCCUGCCAGCUGAGAGCCAGCUCCAGGACUCCUUGGCUUUUUCCAGGCAGAGCCCAAGGCCCAGGUGCCAAACCCGUGUCCCAGCUCUUCUUGGCAGGCCUGGCCCUUGUUUGUCUUUGGGUUUUUCAACUUUUUAUUUUGGAAUCAUUACAGACAAGUUGCAACGAUAGUACAGAGAGUUCGUUCCCAUGUACCCUCACCCAGCUUCCGCUAGUGUUAACGUCUUACAUAACCGUGGUACACUUGUCAAAGCAAAGAAAUUAACAUUGGAACAAUACUAUUAAUUGAACUACAGACUUUAUUUGGAUUUUAGAGUUUUUCCUUAAGGGACAUUACAGUGUCAUUUUUCUUGCCUAGGCCCAAUCCCGGUUGCCACGUUGCAUUUAGUUGUCACGUCCUUUGGUCUCCUUUCACCUGGGACCACUUCUCAGGGUUUCCUUGCUUCUUAUGACCUUGACAAUUUUUUUUAAAUUAUGGUAAAAUAGAUACGUAACAUAUUGCUAUUUUAACCAUCUUUAAGUGUAUAAUUAAGUGGCAGUAAUUGCAUUCACAAUGUUGUGAAACCAUCAUCACUAUUUCCAAAACAGAAACUCUGCCCCUUAACCAGUAACUCUCCACUCCCCUCCUCCCAGGUACCUUUUUUUUUUUUCUUUUGCGACAGAGUCUUGCUCUGUUGCCCAGGCUGCAAUGAUCUUGGC
rnacentral:lncRNA from 1 species